rnacentral:lncRNA from 10 species
AAAAGAUGUCAAGAAAGCUCUCACUGGAGAAAACCAGUCUGAUUGUCUCCAGCUCUGACACAGCUGCCAGGAAGGAUAGUGGCUGGCUGGUGGACAUCCAGGCCAAAGACCCAGAGAACCACAGGUUGAAUCCCAAAUCCUCAGAAGUGUACUCUAAAGACAGUAAACAGGCCACCUUCACCUCAGGGGCAUCAGGAUCUCAAAAUCGAGGGGGAGGUCAGGCCCAGCUAAACUGUCAUAGUAGGGUCUGAGUGUAGUCAUCUCCACAGAAGCAGAAAGGGACAGACAGAUGCCCUGCUCUGGCCCUCAAGCUGCAGCAGCACCAUACAGCAACCCCACCAGCACAAGCAGAGCACAACCAAGGCUGGAGUGCAGUGGCGCAAUCAUGGAUCAUGGUAGCCUCGAACUCCCAGACUCAAGUGAUCCUUCCACCUCAGCCUCCCCAGUAACUGAGACUAUAAGCGCGUGACACCAUGCCCAGCUAAAACCACAACUGGAGCUGAGUUAAGCAUUGUCCUCCUCUGCAUUCUCUCUUGGAAUAACCCCUCCCAUCCAUGAAAGGAAUAAAACACUUGUCAUGAGCA